rnacentral:hammerhead_ribozyme from 1 species
GCACUGCUGAUGAGAUCCAAACAGUUCGAAACAGUUGUCCGGUGC